GUGUCAUGUGAUUCUCUGAGGGAGCAGCUGCGUGAGUGGAGAUGCUUUCAGUGGUGGAGGAUGGACUGGACCCCCAGGCUGCCAUCCCGGUCAUCAAGAAGAAGCUGGUGGGAUCCGUGAAAGCCUUGCAGAAGCAGUACGUGUCCCUGGACACAGUGGUCACUAGUGAAGACGGAGAUGCCAACACCAUGUGCAGUGCCCUGGAGGCCGUAUUUAUCCAUGGCCUGCACGCCAAGCACAUCCGAGCUGAGGCCGGAGGAAAAAGGAAGAAAAGUGCCCACCAGAAGCCUCUGCCCCAGCCUGUCUUCUGGUCCCUCCUGAAAGCUGUCACUCACAAGUGAGAUUUAGCUGGAGAGGUUUUGCUUUGCGGAGGAGCAGCAGAGUAUGGGACACUUGGCUUUUCCUCCCCAGCUGUUCAGGAAGCCAACAGAGGUGCCCUGUGUUCUAGCAUAGAGAUAGGGUGAGGUAGGGGUUGAAAGUGUCUUCUAGAAAGGCUUAUCUCUAGACCAAGCUUCCCAGCCAGUGUGCCAGCAGAUCUUGAGACCCUCAGCACUCAGGCAAGAGCCUGUGGCUGCUUUGAGACUGGUCACAAAAAGCAGGUGAGACUGGUCACCUUUAGCAGGAACCACCUUUUUUGCCACACUGGGGCAGAGUUACAUAGUUACAACAGAGGUUGUGUGGCCUGGAAAGCCUAAAGAAUUUACUAUCUGGCCCUUUACAGAAGACGUUUGCUGACCCUGCCUUAGAUUAUUCGAACAUCCGAAUUGUAAAUCUUUUUUUUUUUUUUUGGGACGGAGUUUCGCUCUGUCACCCAGGCUGGAGUGCAAUGGCAUGAUCUCGGUUCACUGGCACCUCCGCCUCCCAGGUUCAAGCAAUUCUCCUGCCUCAGCCUCCUGAGUAACUGGGACAAUAGGCACGCACCAUCACACCCAGCUAAUUUUUGUAUUUUUAGUAGAGAUGGGGUUUUGCUAUGUUGGUCAGGCUGCUCUCAAACUCCUGACCUUGUGAUCCGCCCACCUCCGCCUCCCAAAGUGCUGGGAUUAUAGGCAUGAGCCACCGCGCCCAGCCAUUAAUGUUAUCUCUUAAGGAGGUAUGGGGUUAUUUUUAUUAACAAGUGGAAUCAGGAAAAGCAUAUGAAUAUUCACCCUGAGACACUUAUCUCUUUGGCCCCUAACUGUCUGGGCUUUUGAGCAAGUAGCUGGCACUGUGCCU
rnacentral:sRNA from 1 species